rnacentral:lncRNA from 1 species
AUGCAUUACUGUAAAAAUGUUAAAAUUAUACAAGUAUGUAUUGUCUUGCUUUUGCCAUGUUUAGAUACUUCCUGUUGGGAGAUAAUGUUUGAAUUCUUGUGUUUUCCAUCACCUUUUGAAGCCAAGUUACAUUGCUUUGAUUACAGAUUCUCAACGUUCUCUCCUCAGCAUCAUCUCUUCCAGGUUAUGCUGGAGCAGACAGACUUUAUUACAAGACUAAAAAGUAGUUCUGAGUAUCAGCUGGAGGAAAAAUGCCUGUUUGCUACAAAUACAUGAGAUGGAAAACAAGUUUCCCCCUAAUCGUAGAAGUACAAUGCAGAUAAGGGUAAAAUUUCUUUUCCUCUGUAAUAUGCACUACAUGAAUUAGAAAAAUGCACAACAAAGAGACUAGGCAGUUACUCCUAUCGUAGUCUAUUUUGAAAAUGCUUUUUUAUGUCACAUCUUAUAAAGGGAGUCUAAUAGUUUAUCCAUUUAAAAAACCAAACAAACAUCUAGGUAUGUGUUCUCUCUGGAAUUCUAGGGGCUUUAGACUUUCCAAAAUAUCAAGCUGAGCUAUGCUUAAUUGAAGAAUAUAUGGGAAGAACAGAAAAGAACAGAAUGCUGCUAUCUUGGUGAUUGAAUUGGCAUAAACUGUGACUGCUCCUUAAUUAAAUAAAUUCACCAAAUGGCUGUGUUUCA